rnacentral:rRNA from 1 species
GAAAACAUUGGCAGCAGUAAAGAAUUUUAUGCAAUAUACGAAAGUAAGACAUAGGCAGAACCUUUUAACCUGUCAAAUUAAGUGCCAGCAGACGCGGUGAAACUUAAGGGUUUGUUUUUUAGAAAAAAGCAGAAAGCGUGUAAAGGUAAAACAUUUAAAAUAAAUAGAAUUUUUUUAGUAAUAGUGCAAUAUUAAAAGAAGAAAAAGAAUUUUUUAUGUGAAGACAAUUUAUUUUUUUUCUUUAACACGAAGGUUCUGGGAGCGAACAGGAUUAGAGACCCUGGUAGUCGAUACAGUAAAAGAAAGUCGCUUGAGUAGUACGGUCGCAAGACUAAAAUUCAAAAAACUUGGCUGUUCAUUGUUAUUUAGAGGAGCGUGUUGCUUAAUUCGAUAAUCCGCGAGUUACCUUACCAAAACUAGCUUUUUCAGGUGUUGCAUGGCCGUCGUCAAUUUAUGUUUGAUACAAUAAAUUAAACCCUAGAAAGGUUGAAGUCCGGUGAAAUUGCCCUUAUGUUUUGGGGUUAAAUGCGCUACAUUUUUUUUUUUAAUAAAAAAAAAGAGUUCGGAUUGUCUUUAAAAGAGGAUGAUUAAGUUGAAUUUAAUAGUAAUUGAAAAGUAGAGCGUUUCAAUGAAUUUGCCGCAAUGUUAGUACAAAUCGCCCGUCGCCUCUACUGAGGUAAACAAAGUAGAGUAA